GACCUUUUGCAGGGUCUGUGUGUCCUAUCCUCUUUGCUCAUAUGCACAGCCACACCACGAUUCCUGGACCUUUGAUGGGUGGUGACGCUCACACAGAUGGAACUAUGAAAUCCUUUUGUCCUUUAUUUUUCAGAUCCCAUGGACUUUUUCAUCAAAAUGUUCAAUGCAUUUGUAUGCCAGCUGUGGAAAUUCAGUACAAUCAGACUCCUUGACUUCUAAAACCCAUUAUAAUAUCUGGGUUCGAUUGGCUGAAAUUGUUACGUACUUGCAAAAAUGUCUCAUGGUACCCACUGUUGUCUUAGCAGACUGACUGUGUUCUUACCUUCCCCACAGGAUUUAAUAGAACACCAUCCUGUGCAACAUAUCCUUUAAGGUCUAUUCCCCUUGAUGAAAACUGUGAUGAUUCAGUGAGCCUUCUAAGACAAAAUUUAACUCUUCGACAUUUUCCUUAGUGGGUAUCCCUGGACUAGCUGUUGGGACUUACAAAACCACUAUGAAACUGGCCUGUGCUAUGGUAAAAAUAUUAAUCAUACCUCUAUGACAAUUAAUAUGCUUAAUGUAGAACAAAAACAACAUCAUCAAGCUAUUCUUGACAAUCGGGCCGCAAUUGAUUGUAAUUAUUACAUUAUAAAGGAUGUCAGGAGUUUAAUGAUAUUGCUUCAAUUUAAGUGACAAUAGAUGUUCUAUCUGAAAGGAGUUAGACUACCUUAAAGAUAUCAUUAAAAAGGUCUGGCAAGAUGAUGGAGGUUUAGACUUAUUGGAUAGUCUAACUUCUUGGUUACCCAACUUUACAUGGGUCAAUUAUUCAUAGGUGCAUUUUAUUAAUAUUGGGAUUAUUAUGUUGUGCUUGCUGUUGCCAAUUUUACCCUAUUUUUUGUCUCCACUGACAUUAAAAAAAACAAAUAUUAUUCAUCUGAAAGGUCUUAAAAAACAAGAAAGGGGAGAUGUAGGGAUUCUGACCAUGGAAAUGUACAGGGAAGCAUUUCCCUGGUGAGCAAACUCCCGGGGCGUAACAGGCACCCUGUUUCCCACCCUUAGAAUGCCCUGCAGUCUCUCUUAGGAUCCAGUAACAGAGCUAAUGUACGUGCCAUGUGUAGCUGGUAUGGCAGUGUCCUGCCCUGAGAUGCCUCUGUGCUAGAGCCUCAUCAGCCUCCAUCUUGAAGGCAGGCACAUAGCUCCUGGGAAUAGAGGAACUUGCUUGCCAGAUAACCACAAUGUUUCACCAAACUCAGGUGCUCCUGGAGCCGCCCGCCUCACAGUAACUUCAGACACUGGACCUUCUUGAGAGCUGCACAAAGCUCCUGAGUUGCCUAUUGUAACUGUGAAAUGUAACUGCAGAACAAGCGCCCUUACUGAUACUCUAAACAAUAAUGUGGUGUGGUACUAAUGACCUAAUG
rnacentral:lncRNA from 1 species